UACAGAGGUCUCAAGCGUUGUUCGGAUUCAUUGGGCGUAAAGGGUGCGUAGGCGGCGCGGUAAGUCGGGUGUGAAAUCUCGGAGCUUAACUCCGAAACUGCAUUCGAUACUGCCGUGCUUGAGGACUGGAGAGGAGACUGGAAUUUACGGUGUAGCGGUGAAAUGCGUAGAUAUCGUAAGGAAGACCAGUGGCGAAGGCGGGUCUCUGGACAGUUCCUGACGCUGAGGCAACGAAGGCCAGGGGAGCAAAACGGG
rnacentral:rRNA from 1 species